rnacentral:rRNA from 1 species
UACGUAGGGGGCAAGCGUUGUCCGGAAUUAUUGGGCGUAAAGAGCGUGUAGGCGGUUCAAUAAGUCUGCUGUGAAAGCCCAGGGCUCAACCCUGGAAUGCCAGUGGAUACUGUUGGACUAGAGUCCGGAAGAGGCGAGUGGAAUUCCUGGUGUAGCGGUGAAAUGCGCAGAUAUCAGGAGGAACACCGGUGGCGAAGGCGGGUCUCUGGGCAACAACUGACGCUGAGGAGCGAAAGCGUGGGGAGCGAACAGG